rnacentral:rRNA from 1 species
UACGAAGGGUGCAAACGUUGCUCGGAAUUAUUGGGCGUAAAGCGCACGUAGGCGGCUUUGUAAGUCGGAUGUGAAAUCCCUCGGCUUAACCGAGGACGUGCAUCCGAAACUGCGAGGCUUGAGUAUGGAAGAGGGUCGCAGAAUUCCCGGUGUAGAGGUGAAAUUCGUAGAUAUCGGGAGGAACACCGGUGGCGAAGGCGGUCUGCUGGGGUAAUGCUGACACUGAUGCGCGACAGCGUGGGGAGCAAACAGG